UACAGAGGUCUCAACCGUUGUUCGGAUUCAUUGGGCGUAAAGGGUGCGUAGGCGGUCGCGCAAGUCAGGUGUGAAAUCUCAGGGCUCAACCCUGAAACUGCACUUGAUACUGCGUGGCUCGGGUACUGGAGAGGAGACUGGAAUUUACGGUGUAGCAGUGAAAUGCGUAGAUAUCGUAAGGAAGACCAGUGGCGAAGGCGAGUCUCUGGACAGUUACCGACGCUGAGGCACGAAGGUCAGGGGAGCAAACGGG
rnacentral:rRNA from 1 species